UACGGAGGGUGCAAGCGUUAAUCGGAAUUACUGGGCGUAAAGCGCGCGUAGGCGGCGUGAUAAGCCGGUUGUGAACGCCCCGGGCUCAACCUGGGAACGGCAGCCGGAACUGUCAGGCUAGAGUGCAGGAGAGGAAGGUAGAAUUCCCGGUGGAGCGGUGAAAUGCGUAGAGAUCUAGAUGAAUACCAGUGGCGAAGGCGGCCUUCUGGACUGACACUGACGCUGAGGUGCGAAAGCGUGGGUAGCAAACAGG
rnacentral:misc_RNA from 1 species